rnacentral:rRNA from 1 species
AACGCGAAGAACCUUACCUAAGCUUGACAUCCCACUGACCUCUCCCUAAUCGGAGAUUUCCCUUCGGGGACAGUGGUGACAGGUGGUGCAUGGUUGUCGUCAGCUCGUGUCGUGAGAUGUUGGGUUAAGUCCCGCAACGAGCGCAACCCUUGCCUUUAGUUGCCAGCAUUAAGUUGGGCACUCUAGAGGGACUGCGGAGGAUAACUCGGAGGAAGGUGGGGAUGACGUCAAAUCAUCAUGCCCCUUAUGCUUAGGGCUACACACGUGCUACAAUGGGUGGUACAGAGGGUUGCCAAGCCGUGAGGUGGAGCUAAUCCCUUAAAGCCAUUCUCAGUUCGGAUUGUAGGCUGAAACUCGCCUACAUGAAGCUGGAGUUACUAGUAAUCGCAGAUCAGAAUGCUGCGGUGAAUGCGUUCCCGGGCCUUGUACACACCGA